rnacentral:rRNA from 1 species
CGAGGAUUCCCCUAGUAACGGCGAGUGAACGGGGAAGAGCCCAGCGCUGAAUCCUUUAGUCUUUGACUAUCAGGAAAUGUAGCGUAUAGGUGUAGGUGUUCGUGCAUUUUGCGCACCCAAAGUCCCCUUGAGCGGGGCUACAGUCCAUAGAAGGUGCUAGACCUGUACGGGUGGCGAGGUGUUCGAUAGCUUGCUCCUUGGAGUCGGGUUGCCUGAGAUCGCAGCCCAAAGAGGGUGGUAAACCUCAUCUAAGGCUAAAUAUGACCACGAGACCGAUAGCAAACAAGUACCGUGAGGGAAAGUUGCAAAGAACUUUGAAGAGAGAGUUCAAGAGGGCGUGAAACCGCUGAGAUGGAAACGGAUAGAGUUAACGAAACUCGGCGGCAUUCAACUGGUCAGCUUAGCGGCCUUGCGGUUUUGUGCCUCGAUGAGGACAGGGACGUGAGUGACUGUUGGGCAUCGGCUAGUGUAUUUGCCGUUGGUAUGCGCCGAGAGCCUCGGCUUCGUGCGUUGACACGUGUGUAGUGGACCACUCCUUCCGGGCGUGGAACCCUGCGUAUGUUGAGACACAUCGGGGCUGGGGUUUGAGUACCGUCUCCGCUUUGCGCAACGGUUGCUACGUGUUUGGCGUUGCUGUUGGACGGUCGCGUGCGACUUGUCUACAGUUGGCGUUGAUCCGCGGUGAUGCAGUUGCGUUGAGACGCUUAUCUCGGUGUGAAAGUUGACCACCUAUCCGA